rnacentral:rRNA from 1 species
CAGGAUGAACGCKGGCGGCGUGCCUAAUACAUGCAAGUCGAGCGAACAGACGAGGAGCUUGCUCCUCUGACGUUAGCGGCGGACGGGUGAGUAACACGUGGAUAACCUACCUAUAAGACUGGGAUAACUUCGGGAAACCGGAGCUAAUACCGGAUAAUAUAUUGAACCGCAUGGUUCAAUAGUGAAAGACGGUUUUGCUGUCACUUAUAGAUGGAUCCGCGCCGCAUUAGCUAGUUGGUAAGGUAACGGCUUACCAAGGCAACGAUGCGUAGCCGACCUGAGAGGGUGAUCGGCCACACUGGAACUGAGACACGGUCCAGACUCCUACGGGAGGCAGCAGUAGGGAAUCUUCCGCAAUGGGCGAAAGCCUGACGGAGCAACGCCGCGUGAGUGAUGAAGGUCUUCGGAUCGUAAAACUCUGUUAUUAGGGAAGAACAAAUGUGUAAGUAACUAUGCACGUCUUGACGGUACCUAAUCAGAAAGCCACGGCUAACUACGUGCCAGCAGCCGCGGUAAUACGUAGGUGGCAAGCGUUAUCCGGAAUUAUUGGGCGUAAAGCGCGCGUAGGCGGUUUUUUAAGUCUGAUGUGAAAGCCCACGGCUCAACCGUGGAGGGUCAUUGGAAACUGGAAAACUUGAGUGCAGAAGAGGAAAGUGGAAUUCCAUGUGUAGCGGUGAAAUGCGCAGAGAUAUGGAGGAACACCAGUGGCGAAGGCGACUUUCUGGUCUGUAACUGACGCUGAUGUGCGAAAGCGUGGGGAUCAAACAGGAUUAGAUACCCUGGUAGUCCACGCCGUAAACGAUGAGUGCUAAGUGUUAGGGGGUUUCCGCCCCUUAGUGCUGCA